AUUGAACGCUGGCGGCAUGCCUUACACAUGCAAGUCGAACGGUAGAGGGGGCAACCCCUUGAGAGUGGCGAACGGGUGAGUAAAGCAUCGGAACGUGCCCAGGAGUGGGGGAUAGCUCGGCGAAAGCCGGAUUAAUACCGCAUGUGACCUGAGGGUGAAAGCGGGGGACCGCAAGGCCUCGCGCUCGUGGAGCGGCCGAUGUCAGAUUAGGUAGUUGGUGGGGUAAAGGCCUACCAAGCCGACGAUCUGUAGCUGGUCUGAGAGGACGACCAGCCACACUGGGACUGAGACACGGCCCAGACUCCUACGGGAGGCAGCAGUGGGGAAUUUUGGACAAUGGGCGCAAACCUGAUCCAGCAAUGCCGCGUGCAGGAUGAAGGCCUUCGGGUUGUAAACUGCUUUUGUACGAGACGAAAAGACUCGCUCUAAUACAGUGGGUACAUGACGGUAUCGUAAGAAUAAGCACCGGCUAACUACGUGCCAGCCGCCGCCGUAA
rnacentral:rRNA from 1 species